rnacentral:lncRNA from 1 species
CGCUUGGCGGGGUCCUAGUCCCCUGACACUUCCUGGCGCCCGCAGCUCUGAUUGGCGGCUGCAGUAGCCUGGGCGGGUCCAGGCGUCUGUCCUAAAGGCGUGGGGUCUCGUCAUCCCCUCCAAGGCUGUCCCCGCUCUCGGGCCCGCCGCGGUCACUGCAGCUUCAGACAGCGGCCGGGUAGGACAGCUCCGAGGCUCUCUCCUUUCAUUUCACUUUCUUCCAGAGUUGACACAUUUGAAUCCUGCCCCAUCACUCCGGUAAGAUAGUGGGAGGCAAGAGCUAGUAUUGUCCCAACUUAAGUGGAAGGGAAGAGGUGGGAGGUUAAUAGACUGGAAUUUUGCAGAUCUCCCCUUUUCUCACUCUGUCUACUUCUGAGCCCUCCUGUCUGUUAUUUUUUCAGGAAUGAGUUUGAUAUUGUGGUCACAUAUUAACGGGUGCAAGGGGAUAGAGGGGGGGAUGGUGGAAGUAAAGGUGGAGUUGUUCCUAGUACAAUGUAUAUGUAUUU